AUCGCCACACUACUGUGGAGCACCAGUUUUCGUCCGAUGAUUGAAAUUAAGCAAUGUUGGGUCCGGUUAGUACUUGCUGUCAGUAGCGUUUCACAAAUAUCAAUCUUCAGACCCU